UCCUAACUCCCAUCUGUUAGAAAAUGGUAGUUUCAUGCACGUAGUUUAAAAAUAUUUUAUAAAUAAUUUAUGUGCAACGAAAGUAAAUUAAAUUAAAAUCUUUUAACUUAAAAUGCACCAGAUCUCAUUUGUAAAUCACAUGCUAGAUCUUGAUACGAACAUGUCACUAUGAUCUGAAAUCUAAAAUCAAAAACAAAAGUUAUC
rnacentral:lncRNA from 1 species